ACGUAGGAGGCGAGCGUUAUCCGGAUUUACUGGGCGUAAAGCGCGUGCAGGCGGUGCGAUAAGUCGUGCGUGAAAGCGCCCAGGCUUAACCGGGCGAGGACAAUGAAGACUGGUCAGCUAGAGGACGGUAGAGGGGUGUGGAAUUCCGGGUGUAGUGGUGAAAUGCGUAGAGAUCCGGAGGAACACCAGUGGCGAAAGCGGCCUCCUGGACCAUUUCUGACGCUCAGACGCGAAAGCUAGGGUAGCGAACGG
rnacentral:rRNA from 1 species